UAUCUUCAUCUUGCAUAUAACCGUUUACUUUUGGUAUUUAUAGGAUAUAUAUUUCCCACUCAGAUAACCUAAAGAUGCGACGAGCUAUAGUCUAUCUCUAGGUCCAUGUGAUUUGAAACAUGGCUUUUAUUGUAGUGAGGUGUGCGAAUUUACUUGCGACUGCUGAAACAAAAAUUGAGGCAGUGCGUUAAACAACUUCAAAGUGUAUAUGGAGUGAAAAUGAUGGUCUAUCUAUUCUGGAAUUUCUUUUGGGGUGCUGUGUAGGUCUCAUGAUAGAUUUUUUACAUGGUCACAAUGGCCAUUGCUAGAUUAUCAAUUUAGGGUUACCAUUAUACAGGUGAUCGUACACUAUUUUAACAUGUUUGAUAGAUCCUAAUAAAGAUUUUUUUUUCUACUCAUUGGAUCACUGCGCACCAUAUCUUAUAGGAGUUGCUUAGCCAGUGCAGGCCAUCUCCCUGUUGCUGGCUAAGCUGUGCCCUGCAGCUUAUAUGGUGGUUGGUUUGUCAUACAAUUAUUCAUGUCCAUCUAUCUUUGAAACAUAUGGUUCCUAUCUAAUGGCUGCACGGAAACGCAGACAAUUUAGUAUGGGGUAGGUACAUUCAUUUUUUUAGAAUUGGAGGCCUUUUAUUUUCUUGCAUACCUCAUGAUUUUUGUUUACUAUCCAAAAAUGAUGAACAGUUUCUUUUGUGAGCCAAUUCACAUUCUGCAGGCUUCUUUCCUUGUCUCAGGAAUGCACUGAUUCUGGUAAGUUCAGAUAGGUGCAGUACAUGCAUCGGGAAUUUGGUUUCAACAUCUUUGGAACUUAGCUUUUCAAAAUCUUUGCAGACCGUAAUUUGGUUUUGUCAUCUGCUAUUUUUAUUGUUUUUCCACCCUCUUUCAGCCUAUGACGAAAAUUUUGAACCCAUUGCUAAACAAUAUGAUCUGAUAUUUAUUCGCAUAUGAGGUACUGGGCUUAUAUCAUACAAUUUUUGAGUGUAACUCCGCUGCCGUCAUGCUUAAAAGUUCAGAGUUAAUAAAUAAAUGAUGAUUCAUAUGUUUCUGAGGCUUAAAAAGCCUAUUUUUAAUGAAAAAAUAAUAACUUUUUUGGUAAGGCGACAAAUGUCAUCUGUCAUUUUUUUAUUCUCUCUUUCCUUAUUCAGCCUAUGAUGAAAAAUUUAUACCCAUUGCUAAAGGAUAUGAUCUGAUGUCCAUUCGCUUGUGAGGUACUGGGCAUGCCUUUCACUUAUUUACUCUUACAAACCUAAGGUUACUCGUGCACAGGAGAGAUGUACACGUCACCCCUAAAUCUCCCAUUGGUCCACCUCAGCGCAACCUCCUCCUCCUUCCUCCUUCCUCUCGGGGUGGCGGUGUGGUGGGUGGCAGCAGCGUUUACCUUCACAAGCCAGAAGCUCACCGCCACAGGCGAAGCUAUACACGUCACCCCAAAAUCUUCCAUUGGUCCACCUCAGUGCUGCCUCACCUCCUCCCCCUCCCAUUGGUCCACCUCAGCCAGCAUGCCUUUAAGCUCCAAGUUGGUAGACAAAUGAUGAGUGGUAUGUUUUUGAGGCUUCAAAAAAAUCCUAUCUUCAAUGAAAAUAAAAAGGAUAGCUUUUUCAUUACGGUACUAGAAUUUUUUUCAAUGUCGUCAGCUAAUUGUAUCAUAUGAGGGAAAUUGAUGAGGCCAACUUUGAAAUACAUGGCAGUUUGGAGAUCACUCCAAACGGCUAUACUUAUUGUAUUUAAUGCACAAUACUGCAUUGAUACUGCACCUAUAUGGACAGGUUCGUUGAUUAUGUGUUGUACACUUUCAUUAUUGUUUCCCUUCAAGUUCUGGAGCUUAUUGUUGUGUAUAUGUUAGCAAAUCUUGCUGGUUUCAUGCCAUCGAAUGACAUUUGCUCGAUGAAUUUGGGAAGGGAGGCCUUAUCAAGAAACCAUAUUUUUUAUUUCAUCGGUGUAUACUUUAUUUUAUUUUUUGUAUCUACAUCAACACUUGAUCUCGGUAGUAGAUUAUUCUAAUAAAGUAAUAAAAGACCUGGUGAGUUAGCCAUAGUAUCAUCUAUCUCAAUGUUUGGUCACAGUUGUUUAUGUGUUGCUGAGUGAUGCAAGCUGUCAUCUACCUCUUCCAUCAAAUUGCCUGCAGAUUGUACUGCAGGUACCUUUGUUUAGGAAAUAGCUGAACCAAAGUAUCUGCUUGUGUUCUAAAAUAUAAGAGCGGAUGUUGAUUAGCCUAAUUUAUUUAACAGUCCCUCUGAGGCCUUAUGCUUAUUUUCCAAAAUAUCACGCUAUCUUGUACAAUGGAUCCUUCAAAGUUUAAUAUCCUAUAGAUUAGUUACUUUCAUUUAUUCAUGCAGUAUUGAUUUGGAUUCGUUGUUGCUUAAGUCAUUGUUGAUUUCUCCUAUCUUUUGCGAUAGUUAUAAAGAGAUCAAGGACAGCCAGUACUUCUAUGGAGAUGGCAACCUUUAAAGAAACUUAAUAUCAGUUUCGCCGUGUAUAUAUGACAUAUAAAGGAAAGUUAAAAACAUGUAGUAUUAGCAGCCUGUAUGUGCACAGCUAUAUUCAUGCUGCCUAUGUCCCUGUGCUCCUUCUACUUGCAUAGAUCUGUGCCUACGGAUAUGUUAUUUUCAUUAAAUCCACUAUUUCUAUCUCAAAUAUUUUUUGUUUUCUUUUUUCCUUUUCCCUUCAGAAACACGCGAAACUUCGGUUCUCUGCAUUUUUUCCUGCCUUAAUUUGCUUUUACUCCCUAUGACACUAACCCUUUUCUUCAUACCACAACAGAUUUGACAUGUACCUUGCAUACUCUCUAGGCUGCUAACCCUUUUCCUACUGCUAUAGAAUGGAGCAGCAAGAUCGGUCCUGCAUUUGCAACAUGAACAUGGUCAUACUCAGUGCAUAGAACAACUUGCGGUUCAACUUGAUAGGUUCAACCUGUGUAUAUGACAAUGCCUUCUGAACCCAGUGUAUAUCAUGUGAAGCACCUAUACUCAGCUAUGUAUACCUACAUUUUGCACAUGUGCCAUGUAUAGGAACUGCUAUAGGUUCUUCCACAGUGAGCUAAAAUCACAUAUGUUAACAUCUUUUGUAACUAGAGUUUAUCCAGUAUUAUAUAAUAUACUACUUACUGUUUUGAUCCCCAAUCGGCACGCAGGGCGUGCCAUUCCUACUAGUAUGCUAUACAUUGAAGAACAAGCCUCUUUAGAGCAACUCCAUCACAUAUAUGACAUUAGAGCAUCUCCAAGAAAUUCUCAUAUUUUAUUCCCCAAAAUAUGGUAUUUGUCAACUCUUAAAUUAGUAUGAGCAGGAAAAAAAGAAGUCAUCUCCAAGAGUUUGCUAUAUUUUUAUCUUAAAAUUUUUUUCUCAGCAUUUUUUUCCUACGACCCGGUCUUAUAUUUUAUAUUAGGAACUCUCAAUUUAUUUCUAUACGUGUGUAAGCCCUUUCACUAAAUCUUUCUCUCUUGUGUUUUUCUCACAUGGAACCCUGUCUUUCUCCUUACUAGAUGGGCCGGAAAACUCAAGAUACGCGCUCCUAGGCCACGUGCAUAUAUGCGCGCUCGAGAGAAAUUUUUGCUGAGGUUGGAAAAGAUGGGGAAGGAAGAUGGCAAACUAUUGGAGAGAGUUUUUUUUUUUUUUUUGCCAAAAAAUUAAGGAUGGAAAGGCCGGAUGGCAAACUGUUAGAGAUGCUCUUAUGUAGUAAGUUUUUGUAGGAGAGUACCCUAAAACCAUUUCAGCAUAUAGGCGAGCACUGCUGCAGCAAAUUACCUUAAAUUUGUCUCCUAUAUUUCUUUAGGAACAGGAGAUAUCUUAAAAAGUAUAGGUGGGAGAUGAGAUAGGAGAUCUGUUGCAGCACCUGUCUCCUAAAAUCGUAGUUUUUAGGUGUGGGAUAUUUAGACGGGAGAUCAGGGGUAUAUGCGUGGUUGAUCACUAAGGCAGGAAUGUAACGGUUCCAAUCCAGCUAUGUUAGGUAUUUACUGCUUGAAUCAUUCAUGCUUUUACUCAAUAAGAAGGAUAAAGGUCGACAUGUGUAGAAUAACUUGUUGACCUCAGUGGCUGUAUGCCUACAGUCCUACAGAUUUGGACUAAAGUAAAUUGCACUUAAGUUCUAGUCAAAUAACUCCCUACUUUUUUUAUGCCACACUCUUCAUGACCAAUUCCAUGCUGCAUUGACACUUGGUCAUAAUCAGUAUCUGGGGCUGACAGAUCUGGUUCAGAAUUUGGAAAUGCAGCCUACAUGUGACACUUGGUCAUAUAUCUGGGGAUCUUCUUCCUUUUCUGCUAACAAAGCUUACAGGCAGCUUAUUGGGCAUAGGCAAGUUCAUAAAGCCUGUCAAUGGCUGUGGAAAUCAUCCUGUCAAAAUAAAAGGAAGUUCUUCUUUUGGUUAAUACUUCAGGACAGGUUAAGCACAAGGGCUUUGCCGCGACGUAGGAACAAAACAUGCACUUGACGAAGAUCUUAUUCACUUGCUCUUUCAAUGUCCUUUCUCUUGGUCUAGCCUGCAACUGACAGUCUCCAGCAGUCUUGAUCAAUUGAAAGUUUUCGGGAUCAGUUACAGUUGCUGUUUUUUAUGAAGAUCAUCAUCACAAUGUGCUGGUCCAUUUGGACAAUGUGAAAUGACGUUAUUUUCAACAACAUUCCUCACUCGUGCACAAAUGCAAGGUUGUCUUUAGAAAGGAGUUUGCUCUGGUUAUACUUAGAGCAAAGGCGAUUUACCAUCCAAGGAGUGAUUUAUGCUAGAAACCUUUGGGUAAUUGCUUUGAUUUUCUUCUUGACUUUUUUUUUGUCUCAUGAGACUUUGUAGUUUGUACUUUGUAUCAGUUUUUAAUAAAAUUCCAGUAGGAGGUAAAACGCCUCCUGUUCCAUAAA